UACGUAGGGUGCAAGCGUUGUCCGGCAUUAUUGGGCGUAAAGAGCGUGUAGGCGGCCCGGUUAGUCCGCUGUGAAAGUCCAGGGCUCAACCCUGGAAUGCCGGUGGAUACUGUCGGGCUAGAGUCCGGAAGGGGCGAGUGGAAUUCCUGGUGUAGCGGUGAAAUGCGCAGAUAUCAGGAGGAACACCAAUAGCGAAGGCAGCUCGCUGGGACGGUACUGACGCUAAGGCGCGAAAGCGUGGGGAGCGAACAGG
rnacentral:rRNA from 1 species